rnacentral:rRNA from 1 species
CCUACGGGAGGCAGCAGUAGGGAAUCUUCCACAAUGGGCGAAAGCCUGAUGGAGCAACGCCGCGUGAGUGAUGAAGGCCUUCGGGUUGUAAAACUCUGUCAUUCGGGACGAACCGGAGUCUGAGGAAAUGCAGACUCUCUGACGGUACCGGAGGAGGAAGCCCCGGCUAACUACGUGCCAGCAGCCGCGGUAAUACGUAGGGGGCAAGCGUUGUCCGGAUUCACUGGGCGUAAAGCGCGCGCAGGCGGUGAUGUAAGUCUGAGGUGAAAACCCGAAGCUCAACUUCGGGACUGCCUUGGAUACUGCGUCACUUGAGGAUAGGAGAGGCAAGGGGAAUUCCACGUGUAGCGGUGAAAUGCGUAGAGAUGUGGAGGAACACCUGUGGCGAAGGCGCCUUGCUGGCCUAUUUCUGACGCUGAGGCGCGAAAGCGUGGGGAGCAAACAGGAUUAGAUACCCUGGUAGUCCACGCUGUAAACGAUGAGUGCUAGGUGUAGGUGGGCUCAUACCCAUCUGUGCCGAAGCUAACGCAUUAAGCNCNCCGCCGUGGGAGGUACGGUCGCGAGACGUAGAACGUACGAAGUAAGUAGUAGGACGACGNGAGGACGCGACGGACGACGACGACGGGAGGGAGGAGG